rnacentral:lncRNA from 1 species
GGGGCCACGUAUCCCUCCCAACUCUGUAAGUUCUCUGCUAGUCAGGGCUGGAGACUGCUGCUGGCAGAAACCCAAUCUUCUCCUUGCAAAUAAAGGAGCCAUCUGACAACGCUGUAUUUGUUGGGGCCUCUUCUGAACCAAUCAGAGACUGCCCUUGACCGACGGGAGGAGGAGAAGUUUAUAAUAGGAUCAGUUUUGUUUGCAAUUUGUUUCUAAUAGAUGCCAAUAAGCCAGUUAACUAGGCUCCGGUUAAUGGACAUUUUAUUGUUCCCCCCCUCCCGCCAUGGUGCACAUGACCUUUCCUUAGAAGCAUUUGUGAUGCCUGAAAACAUGUAUCUGCUGCCUGGUAGCCAGAGGGCUUGCUCUGCUCUAGAAAACUUGUUCCCUAGCCCCGAGCUGCAGACCAGACCCAAAUACUUUGAUCAUUCUGUCAGUGGGAAAUUUAGAGCAACAUUCGGGCUUUUGUUCCAUGUGUAUUUCUCCAAAUGUAAUAUCUCCCUCAAGAAAUCAAUGAUAAGCUGUUAAACUAAAGAGCAUGGUAACAUCCACAGAGCAGUAAAUUAAUGGUCUUUCGUGGAUAGAUGGUUACAGAUUUCAUCAUAAAAAAUGGAUAAAAGAUUACAUAUCACACAGAGCGAAACUUUU